rnacentral:rRNA from 1 species
CGGUUGAUCCUGCCGGAGGCACUGCUAUGGGGGUCCGACUAAGCCAUGCGAGUCAUGGGGCGCCUUGCGCGCACCGGCGGACGGCUCAGUAACACGUCGGUAACCUACCCUCGGGAGGGGGAUAACCCCGGGAAACUGGGGCUAAUCCCCCAUAGGCCUGAGGUACUGGAAGGUCCUCAGGCCGAAAGGGGCUCUGCCCGCCCGAGGAUGGGCCGGCGGCCGAUUAGGUAGUUGGUGGGGUAACGGCCCACCAAGCCGAAGAUCGGUACGGGCCAUGAGAGUGGGAGCCCGGAGAUGGACACUGAGACACGGGUCCAGGCCCUACGGGGCGCAGCAGGCGCGAAACCUCCGCAAUGCGGGAAACCGCGACGGGGGGACCCCCAGUGCCGUGGCAACGCCACGGCUUUUCCGGAGUGUAAAAAGCUCCGGGAAUAAGGGCUGGGCAAGGCCGGUGGCAGCCGCCGCGGUAAUACCGGCGGCCCGAGUGGUGGCCGCUAUUAUUGGGCCUAAAGCGUCCGUAGCCGGGCCUGUAAGUCCCUGGCGAAAUCCCACAGCUCAACCGUGGGGCUUGCUGGGGAUACUGCAGGCCUUGGGACCGGG